CUGGCAUCUCUUCAAACUGGUUUGUCUGGGUCUCGGAGCCACAGGAAGUGCUCCGGUCCUGUUCCCAGCUGAGACUCACUGAUGUCGGUUGGAGUGGGGCCAUUUCCAUCGGCCCCAGAAUCCGCCGGGAAGAACCGAUGAAAGAUGCUGGCAGCCGCGGGGUGCCGAGACAACCCGCCACAUCCCCGGGGAAGGGAGAAGGCCAGACCAUGCUGUUGUGCGUUAAGGGAAGCACGUUUUCUGAGUUCUGCACAUGGACCACAGAGAGGAAGAAUGGGGCGUGGAAGGGGAUAUAAGGCUUUGAUAGAAAUCAACAGAGACUAAUAUCUGGGGAAAAGAAGACACUGUCCUUGUGACCUAUGCAGGCUGC